rnacentral:rRNA from 1 species
CCUACGGGUGGCAGCAGUGGGGAAUUUUGCGCAAUGCUCGUAAGAGUGACGCAGCGACGCCGCGUGAAUGACGAAGGCCUUCGGGUCGUAAAGUUCUUUCGACAGGGAAGAAAAUGCCUAUAAGUAACUGUGUAUGUCUUGACGGUACCUGUAUAAGCAGCCCCGGCUAACUCCGUGCCAGCAGCCGCGGUAAUACGGAGGGGGCGAGCGUUGUUCGGAGUGACUGGGCGUAAAGAGCACGUAGGCGGUGUUGUAAGUCAUUGGUAAAAGACUAGGGCUCAACUUUUGUAAGGCUAGUGAUACUAUAAUACGAGAGUAUCAGAGAGGAUUGCAGAAUUCCUGGUGUAGCGGUGAAAUGCGUAGAUAUCAGGAGGAAUACCGUUAGCGAAGGCGGCAAUCUGGCUGGAAACUGACGCUGAGGUGCGAAAGCGUGGGUAGCAAACAGGAUUAGAUACCCCAGUAGUC